rnacentral:rRNA from 1 species
UACGAAGGGGGCUAGCGUUGUUCGGAAUUACUGGGCGUAAAGCGCAUGUAGGCGGGUCAUUAAGUCGGGGGUGAAAGCCCAGAGCUCAACUCUGGAAUUGCCUUCGAUACUGGUGACCUGGAGCAUGAUAGAGGCGAGUGGAAUUGCGAGUGUAGAGGUGAAAUUCGUAGAUAUUCGCAGGAACACCAGUGGCGAAGGCGACUCGCUGGAUCAUUGCUGACGCUGAGAUGCGAAAGCGUGGGGAGCAAACAGG